GCCGUGGUGGCGGAAUGGCAGACGCGCAGGACUUAAAAUCCUGUUUCACAAUUGUGAAGUGUGGGUUCGACUCCCACCCUCGGCA
rnacentral:tRNA from 1 species